rnacentral:rRNA from 1 species
GAGAGAGGGAGCCCUGAGAUGGACUCUGAGACAUGAGUCCAGGCCCUACGGGGCGCAGCAGUCGCGAAAACUUCACAAUGGGGGAAACCCCGAUGAGGGAAUUCCAAGUGCCAGCACAUUGUGUUGGCUGUUCUCUGGUCUAAAAAACCGGAGAAGUAAGGGCCGGGUAAGACGGGUGCCAGCCGCCGCGGUAAUACCCGCGGCCCAAGUGGUGGUCGAUAUUAUUGAGCCUAAAACGUCCGUAGCCGGUCUUGUAAAUCCUUGGGUAAAUCGACCAGCUCAACUGUUCGAAGUCCGGGGAGACUGCAAGACUUGGGAUCGGGAGAGGUGAGAGGUACUUCUGGGGUAGGGGUAAAAUCCUGUAAUCCUAGAAGGACCACCGGUGGCGAAGGCGUCUCACUAGAACGAAUCCGACGGUGAGGGACGAAGCCCUGGGGCGCAAACGGGAUUAGAUACCCCGGUAGUCCAGGGUGUAAACGCUGCGGGCUUGGUGUUGGGGGUCCUUUGAGGGCGCCCAGUGCCGGAGAGAAGUUGUUAAGCCUGCUGCUUGGGGAGUACGUCCGCAAGGAUGAAACU